CCAGAGAACUUAGCAGAGAUGCUUUGGUGCCUUCGGGAACUCUGAGACAGGUGCUGCAUGGCUGUCGUCAGCUCGUGUUGUGAAAUGUUGGGUUAAGUCCCGCAACGAGCGCAACCCUUAUCCUUUGUUGCCAGCGGCUCGGCCGGGAACUCAAAGGAGACUGCCGGUGAUAAACCGGAGGAAGGUGGGGAUGACGUCAAGUCAUCAUGGCCCUUACGGCCAGGGCUACACACGUGCUACAAUGGCGCAUACAAAGAGAAGCGACCUCGCGAGAGGCAAGCGGACCUCAUAAAGUGCGUCGUAGUCCGGAUUGGAGUCUGCAACUCGACUCCAUGAAGUCGGAAUCGCUAGUAAUCGUAGAUCAGAAUGCUACGGUGAAUACGUUCCCGGGCCUUGUACACACCGCCCGUCACACCAUGGGAGUGGGUUGCAAAAGAAGUAGGUAGCUUAACCUUCGGGAGGGCGCUUACCACUUUGUGAUUCAUGACUGGGGUGAAGUCGUAACAAGGUAAGCGUAGCGAG
rnacentral:rRNA from 1 species